GACGAACGCUGGCGGCGUGCUUAACACAUGCAAGUCGAACGGUGAAGCGCCUUCCUUUUUGGUGGGUGUGGAUGAGUGGCGAACGGGUGAGUAACACGUGAGUAACCUGCCCCCCUCUUCUGGAUAACCGCAUGAAAGUGUGGCUAAUACGGGAUAUUCUGGGUCUGUCGCAUGAUGGGUCUGGGAAAGAUAUUGUUUCGGUGGGGGAUGGGCUCGCGGCCUAUCAGCUUGUUGGUGGGGUGAUGGCCUACCAAGGCGGUGACGGGUAGCCGGCCUGAGAGGGUGGACGGUCACACUGGGACUGAGACACGGCCCAGACUCCUACGGGAGGCAGCAGUGGGGAAUAUUGCACAAUGGGCGCAAGCCUGAUGCAGCGACGCCGCGGGAGGGAUGGAGGCCUUCGGGUUGUGAACCUCUUUCGCCAGUGAAGCAGGCCUGCCUCGUUUGUGGGUGGGUUGACGGUAGCUGGAUAAGAAGCGCCGGCUAACUACGUG
rnacentral:rRNA from 1 species